UAGCCUUGACAUAUAAUGGGAUUCGACAGAGAUGUUGAAGUGCCUUCGGGAGCCAUAAUACAGGUGCUGCACGGCUGUCGUCAGCUCGUGUCGUGAGAUGUUGGGUUAAGUCCCGCAACGAGCGCAACCCUCGUCACUAGUUACUAACGGUUCGGCCGAGGACUCUAGUGAGACUGCCUUCGUAAGGAGGAGGAAGGUGAGGACGACGUCAAGUCAUCAUGGCCCUUACGGCUAGGGCAACACACGUGCUACAAUGGUUAGGACAAUGAGAAGCAAUAUCGCGAGGUGGAGCAAAUCUAUAAACCUAAUCUCAGUUCGGAUUGUAGUCUGCAACUCGACUACAUGAAGCUGGAAUCACUAGUAAUCGUAGAUCAGCUAUGCUACGGUGAAUACGUUCCCGGGUCU
rnacentral:rRNA from 1 species